rnacentral:rRNA from 1 species
GUCGUGGUUAGGGAGAUUGUGCGCGAGACCGCAAUCAGCGGUAGCAUACCCAUCACCUUCCCGAUGCUCACGCGCUCGAACUACAGCGAGUGGGCGUUGAUCAUGGAGUGCAACCUCCAUGCAGCGAGCCUCUGGGUUCCCAUGGAGGACGACCUGGUCGAGAGAAAGGAGGACAGGAAAGCCGUGGCGGCACUCAUGUGUGCCACGCCGCCGGAGAUGCACGGCAUGCUCGUGGCGAAGGCAAGUGCCAAGGAGGCGUGGGAAGCCAUCCGUACCCAGCGCCUCGGCAGCAACCGCGUGCGCGAGGCGAACGCGCAGAAGCUGCGGAUGGACUUCGAGAACAUCACCUUCAAGGAGGGCGAGCUCGUCGAUGACUUCGCCAUGCGGAUCACCAGCCUUGCGUCAUAG